rnacentral:rRNA from 1 species
GAGCGGUAACAGGCGUAGCAAUACGUGCUGACGAGCGGCGAUCGGGUGAGUAAUGCUUCGGAAUCUGCCUGGUAGUGGGGAAUAACCAGUCGAAAGAGUGGGUAAUACCGCAUACGACACUUUUUUCGUAUUGGAAAUUGGUGAAAGCGGGGGAUCGCAAGACCUCGCGCUAAUAGAUGAGCCGAAGUCGGAUUAGCUAGUUGGUGAGGUAACGGCUCAACAUGGUGACAAUCCGUAGCUGGUAUGAGAGGACGACCAGCUACAUUGGGAGUGAGAAACGGCCCAGACUCUUACGGGAGGCAGCAGUGGGGAAUAUUAGACGAUGGGGGCAACCGUGAUCCAGAGACGCGGGGUGUGUCAAGAAGGCGUGAGGGUUGUUAAGCACUUUUAGCGGGGACGAAUAAGAUACGGGCUAAUACCGUAUGGUCAUGAUGGUACCCGAAGAAGAAGCACCGGCUAACUUUGUG